UCUAGGCAAUCCACACAAUCGGCCUGAAGGGGUAGCGAGUCUAGGAUUUUUUGAAUCUGAUAUAGAUGGACGUUUCACCAGGGCAAACGCAGACAAUGUUUGUGUCCUGGUCAUUCACUACGAGUUCAAAAACGAUCCUAAUUUUGCGUUCCGAAAAGGAGACGCUAAAGACGUAGAAAACCUAAAGACUUUCUUUGGGGAAAACCGAAAUUGCAAUUUCCGUAACUUUCGGUCCCCAAACAAAAAGACUCUGCUCCAACUUCUGGGAGAUCAAGAAAAGCUUUUGCAGUUUUUCAACUCACAAGAUGACGUACCCUCUGUUUUCGUGCUUUUCAUCCUCUCUCAUGGGUCUGAAAACGGAAUGAUAUUUACCGACCACUUAAAAAGUGAAACUGAUGAGAACGAAUAUUUCACAACAGAUGAGGUGCUUGACUCAUUACAGAGGCUACAGAGUUUCGAUAAAUGUCUAAAAGUCGUGAAUUUUGGGCCAUGCCGGGGGCCAUUGGAAGAUUCAAAAUUCGACAGGAAGAAUUCAUACGAAAACUACAGAAACAUGAAUUCAUGCAGAAUCACCACUCGCCCAGGAAUGCACAAUUUUUACGUGUUCUAUUCUACAGUUGAAA